rnacentral:rRNA from 1 species
UCAUAACGACUCUCGGCAACGGAUAUCUCGGCUCUCGCAUCGAUGAAGAACGUAGCGAAAUGCGAUACUUGGUGUGAAUUGCAGAAUCCCGUGAACCAUCGAGUCUUUGAACGCAAGUUGCGCCCGAAGCCAUCUGGCCGAGGGCACGUCUGCCUGGGCGUCACGCACC